rnacentral:rRNA from 1 species
GCGGUAAUUCAAGCUCCAAUAGCGUAUAUGUAAAUUGUUGCGGUUGAAAAGCUCGUAGUUGGACUUCUGGCGACCGCGUUCGGUCCGCCAAGCGCGUGCACUGUCCGCGGUCGUCGUCUCUGUCGACGUGGCGCGUCGGCCUUAGUUCGUCGGUGCGUCGUCUGUCGGCGAUGUUACUUUGAGGAAAUCAGAGUGCUCAAGGCAAGCGUUCGCUCGUGACUUCACUAGCAUGGAAUAACACAGAUGGGCUCUUUCUCGCACUGUUGGUCUGCGUCAAUUGAGCAACGAUCGAUAGAGACGGUCGGGGGCAUUCGUAUUGCGCAGUUAGAGGUGAAAUUCUCCGAUCUGCGCAAGACGCACUAAUGCGAAAGCAGUUGCCAAGGACGUCCUCUCAUGAUCAAGAGCGAAAGUCGGGGGAUCAAAGAUGAUUAGAUACCGUCGUAGUCCCGACCAUAAAUGAUGCCGACUGAGCUUCGGCGACUCGACCUCAGGUCGUAUGUCGGCGCUCUUAGAGAAAUUAAAGUCUUUGGGCUCCGGGGGUAGUAUGGUCGCAAGUCUGAAACUUGAAGGAAUUGACGGAAGGGCACCACAAGGCGUGGAUGUUGCGGCUUAAUUUGACUCAACACGGGAAAGCUUACUAGGUUUGGACACCUUUGUGAUGGACAGAUUGAAGCUCUUACCCUACUGCGUGGAUGGUGGUGCAUGGUCGUUCUCAGCCCGUGGGUUGACCUGUCAGGUUUACUCCGGUAACGCGCGAGACCUCGGUCUGCUAAAUAGACGCGGCUGUUCCGGCACCCGCGCUCUUCUUAGAGAGAGACUCGACGAGAGUCGAGGGAAGUCGAGGCAAUAACAGAUCUGUGAUGCCCUUAGUUAUCCUAGGUCGCACGCGCCAUACAAUGUGGCGCACAACGAGUCUCCUUGGCCGACAGGUUCUGGGCAAUCUGGCAGAGCGCUACGUGACUGGGCUAGACUUUUGUAAUUUUUGGUCUUGAACGAGGAAUGCYUAGUAAUCGCAGGUCAGCAUCCUGCGAUGAUUCGGUCCCUGCCCUUUGUACACACCGCCCGUCGCUCCAUCCGUGGCAUGCGCCGGUGAAGAGGGGGAGGCAGCGUCGGCUGGGUAACACCAGAUCGCACGUGGAACCCCUCUGAACCUUCGCACGUAGAGGAAGGAGAAGUCGUAACAAGGUUUUCGUAGGUGAACCUGCGAAAGGAUCAUUAUCGGCACA